UACACACCGCCCGUCACAUCACGAAAGUGGUUUGUACUAGAAGUCGUCAUCCCAACCCGCAAGGGACGGUAGCGCCCAAGGUAUGAACCAUGAUUGGGGUG
rnacentral:rRNA from 1 species